rnacentral:rRNA from 1 species
GUGAAAGACGGUCUUGCUGUCACUUAUAGAUGGAUCCGCGCUGCAUUAGCUAGUUGGUAAGGUAACGGCUUACCAAGGCAACGAUGCAUAGCCGACCUGAGAGGGUGAUCGGCCACACUGGAACUGAGACACGGUCCAGACUCCUACGGGAGGCAGCAGUAGGGAAUCUUCCGCAAUGGGCGAAAGCCUGACGGAGCAACGCCGCGUGAGUGAUGAAGGUCUUCGGAUCGUAAAACUCUGUUAUUAGGGAAGAACAUAUGUGUAAGUAACUGUGCACAUCUUGACGGUACCUAAUCAGAAAGCCACGGCUAACUACGUGCCAGCAGCCGCGGUAAUACGUAGGUGGCAAGCGUUAUCCGGAAUUAUUGGGCGUAAAGCGCGCGUAGGCGGUUUUUUAAGUCUGAUGUGAAAGCCCACGGCUCAACCGUGGAGGGUCAUUGGAAACUGGAAAACUUGAGUGCAGAAGAGGAAAGUGGAAUUCCAUGUGUAGCGGUGAAAUGCGCAGAGAUAUGGAGGAACACCAGUGGCGAAGGCGACUUUCUGGUCUGUAACUGACGCUGAUGUGCGAAAGCGUGGGGAUCAAACAGGAUUAGAUACCCUGGUAGUCCACGCCGUAAACGAUGAGUGCUAAGUGUUAGGGGGUUUCCGCCCCUUAGUGCUGCAGCUAACGCAUUAAGCACUCCGCCUGGGGAGUACGACCGCAAGGUUGAAACUCAAAGGAAUUGACGGGGACCCGCACAAGCGGUGGAGCAUGUGGUUUAAUUCGAAGCAACGCGAAGAACCUUACCAAAUCUUGACAUCCUUUGACAACUCUAGAGAUAGAGCCUUCCCCUUCGGGGGACAAAGUGACAGGUGGUGCAUGGUUGUCGUCAGCUCGUGUCGUGAGAUGUUGGGUUAAGUCCCGCAACGAGCGCAACCCUUAAGCUUAGUUGCCAUCAUUAAGUUGGGCACUCUAAGUUGACUGCCGGUGACAAACCGGAGGAAGGUGGGGAUGACGUCAAAUCAUCAUGCCCCUUAUGAUUUGGGCUACACACGUGCUACAAUGGACAAUACAAAGGGCAGCGAAACCGCGAGGUCAAGCAAAUCCCAUAAAGUUGUUCUCAGUUCGGAUUGUAGUCUGCAACUCGACUACAUGAAGCUGGAAUCGCUAGUAAUCGUAGAUCAGCAUGCUACGGUGAAUACGUUCCCGGGUCUUGUACACACCGCCCGUCACACCACGAGAGUUUGUAACACCCGAAGCCGGUGGAGUAACCUUUUAGGAGCUAGCCGUCGAAGGUGGGACAAAUGAUUGGGGUGAAGUCGUAACAAGGUAGCCGUAUCGGAAGGUGCGGCUGGAUCACCUCCUU